AUGGAUGCUCCACAACCCCCAAGACAGCUUCUGUUAAAGGGGCUUGGGACCAAGCCAAUUGCUACCCCACGUAUUCCAAAUAGACCACCACCUCAUACUGUACAGGAAGAACAUAUGCCAUCUUGCUGCAUCCCAGCACAGACAGGAGCUUCAGCAAAAACUCCCUGCAGACCAGUUCAGCCCAGUGGAUUGGCAGUGAGGGAUGGAAUGUUUGUCCGUAUACUGACAGUACUAGAAGAAAUAAAGGAUUAUCAGAAGGUACAGGGAAGCAUGUUACAGUCUCUUCUGCAAAAAGAACAUGACAGUGGGGUUCCUGUCUUGCCCAAGGGGGUUGCCUUUCCAUUGAAGAACUUUACUGAAGUUGAUGAUAUGGAGUUAAAGCUCUGUGAGUCUGACUUUCAGAAAAACAUUGUCUCAGUCCUUGGGGACAUCGGAGGGAGGAGCCUCGACGAGUGUGUCCGAAGAAUUAUGGCAUUUGUGAUGGCGAAUGACCUUGCCCGUCACUUCAACCUUAGAGGGCGCCAUGGCAAACACUCAUUCAGUAGCCUACGUCUUUUUGAUAUUGUGCAUGGUAGCCUGAAGCAAAACUCUCUGCUAAAAAAUGUUAACAAAAAAUAAGUUGAGACAACCCUUGGCAAAUGGUUCGUCAACGCCAGGGACGGCAACCGUGCCUUGCGAGCCCAGCGAGACCUUGAACAGAGGUCAGUACUGUCAAUUUCUGUUAAAUUUGUGUUUCUGCAAGUUAAACCACACUGCUGUUUCUCCAUUUUAAUUUCAUGUUAUCUCAGCAGCUGCUCAAUCUUAGUUGGUUGCUAGUUGACUUGACAGUUGUUUAUCGAACUUUAUACAAUGGGAGCGUAGAAUGCUUGAAUCUGAUUGGCUGACGAAUGUUCUAAGAUGCGCAAUUAUUUUCAAGGAAAUGCACGGCGAACGUACAGGUGCAUCUCAAUAAAUUAGAAUGUCAUGGAAAAGUUCA
ensembl:lncRNA